rnacentral:tRNA from 1 species
GAAUAAAUAUUUUAAUGAAAAAAAAAACUUAAAUAAUAAAUUAUUUAAAAAAAAUAUUUAAAAUUUGAAGAAGUAAAUUUAUAUAUUUUAUAUAUUUUAAUUAGAUUUCUAUUUAUAAAUAUUUUUUAUUAUAACUCUUAAACAAGGAAAAUAGUAGUACGAAAAGAACGUUAACAAAUGAAAUUAUAAUAAAAACAAAUAUUAACUUUUUAUAUGAAUAAUUUUUUAAAAAAUAAAAUUCUAUUAA